rnacentral:tRNA from 1 species
GGGGUUGUAGCUCAGAGGUAGAGUGCUUGCCUACCACGUGUGAGGCCCUGGGUUCAAUUCUCAGCACCA